CCGCGUGAGGGAGGAAGGCUCUUGGGUCGUAAACCUCUUUUCUCAGGGAAGAACACAAUGACGGUACCUGAGGAAUAAGCAUCGGCUAACUCCGUGCCAGCAGCCGCGGUAAUACGGAGGAUGCAAGCGUUAUCCGGAAUGAUUGGGCGUAAAGCGUCCGCAGGUGGCUAUGUAAGUCUGCUGUUAAAGAGUCUAGCUCAACUAGAUAAGAGCAGUGGAAACUACAUGGCUAGAGUGCGUUCGGGGCAGAGGGAAUUCCUGGUGUAGCGGUGAAAUGCGUAGAGAUCAGGAAGAACACCGGUGGCGAAGGCGCUCUGCUAGGCCGCAACUGACACUGAGGGACGAAAGCUAGGGGAGCGAAUGGGAUUAGAUACCCCAGUA
rnacentral:rRNA from 1 species